rnacentral:snRNA from 1 species
GGAUGUGAGGGCGAUCUGGCUGCGACAUCUGUCACCCCAUUGAUCGCCAGGGUUGAUUCGGCUGAUCUGGCUGGCUAGGCGGGUGUCCCCUUCCUCCCUCACCGCUCCAUGUGCGUCCCUCCCAAAGCUGCGCACUCGGUCGAAGAGGACGGCCUUCCCCAAAUAGAGACGGACCGGUCUUCGGUCAAGUAUAUACGAGUAGCUGCGCUCCCCUGCUAGAACCUCCAAACAAGCUCUCAAGGGUAGGACAGAGAGAAAUGGAGAGAGGAGGGGAAGACAGAGGGGGAGAGAAGGAUAGACACCUGCAGACCUGCUUCACCGCCUGU